rnacentral:lncRNA from 1 species
AGGGACCUUCUGCCUGCCCACCUGGCCCUGCUCCCUGCUUGGAUUGGGUGGUGUUGAUUGAGAUCAGCGGGCAGAAUGACCCUCCAGUGUUUGGAGGGCCGGGUCCCUGGACUGAGAGAUGGGGAGGCUCGCUGUCAGUGUGGGACGCAUUCAAGGCAGCUGUCCCCAUAGAACCAGCUAACGGCUGUGAUGGAGUUACCUUCGGGGCCGUGGGGUCCCAGGAAAGGGAGAGCUGCAGGCAGCUGGGGUGCUGGGGGAGGCUUCACAGAGGUGAGGACAUGCUUCCCCUGUUAACCUGGGAAUGGUUUCCACUUUUUUACACCUCUCUAUGGCCCUGCCUCUGUCUGAGUGCUG